rnacentral:rRNA from 1 species
UUGCUGACGAGCGGCGGACGGGUGAGUAAUGCUUGGGAACAUGCCGUGAGGUGGGGGACAACAGUUGGAAACGACUGCUAAUACCGCAUAAUGUCUACGGACCAAAGGGGGCUUCGGCUCUCGCCUUUAGAUUGGCCCAAGUGGGAUUAGCUAGUUGGUGAGGUAAUGGCUCACCAAGGCGACGAUCCCUAGCUGGUUUGAGAGGAUGAUCAGCCACACUGGGACUGAGACACGGCCCAGACUCCUACGGGAGGCAGCAGUGGGGAAUAUUGCACAAUGGGCGCAAGCCUGAUGCAGCCAUGCCGCGUGUGUGAAGAAGGCCUUCGGGUUGUAAAGCACUUUCAGUCAGGAGGAAAGGUUAGUAGUUAAUACCUGCUAGCUGUGACGUUACUGACAGAAGAAGCACCGGCUAACUCCGUGCCAGCAGCCGCGGUAAUACGGAGGGUGCGAGCGUUAAUCGGAAUUACUGGGCGUAAAGCGUACGCAGGCGGUUUGUUAAGCCAGAUGUGAAAGCCCCGAGCUCAACUCGGGAACUGCAUUUGGAACUGGCAAACUAGAGUCUUGUAGAGGGGGGUAGAAUUUCCAGUGUAGCGGUGAAAUGCGUAGAGAUUGGAAGGAAUACCAGUGGCGAAGGCGGCCCCCUGGACAAAGA